AACGAACGCUGGCGGCAUGCCUAACACAUGCAAGUCGAACGAGACCUUCGGGUCUAGUGGCGCACGGGUGCGUAACGCGUGGGAACCUGCCCUUAGGUUCGGAAUAACUCCCCGAAAGGGGUGCUAAUACCGGAUAAUGUCUUCGGACCAAAGAUUUAUCGCCUUUGGAUGGGCCCGCGUUGGAUUAGCUAGUUGGUAGGGUAAAAGCCUACCAAGGCGACGAUCCAUAGCUGGUCUGAGAGGAUGAUCAGCCACACUGGGACUGAGACACGGCCCAGACUCCUACGGGAGGCAGCAGUGGGGAAUAUUGGACGAUGGGCGAAAGCCUGAUACAGCAAUGCGGCGUGAGUGAUGAAGGCCUUAGGGUUGUAAAGCUCUUUUACCCGGGAUGAUAAUGACAGUACCGGGAGAAUAAGCUCCGGCUAACUCCGUG
rnacentral:rRNA from 1 species